AGCCUCUCAGGAUCAUACCUGGAGAGUUUCCAGUACUCUACCAGUCUCGAUUAUGGGAGGGAGAAUCGAGCAGAUGCAUAUCCAUUCCAUUCCUAGCUUGGCCAGUGGCUAGCAAGUGGAAGACAAUCUGCUACAAGU